UGCCAGCCGCCGCGGUAAUACGGAGGUAGCGAGCGUUACUCGGAAUCAUUGGGUGUAAAGGGCAAGUAGGCGGCUUAUUAAGCGAGGGGUGAAAUCUUCCGACUCAAUCGGGAAAUUGCCUUUCGAACUGAUAAGCUUGAGGCCAGAAGAGGGAAAUGGAAUUAGCAGUGUAAGGGUGAAAUCUGUAGAUAUUGCUAAGAACACCAACGGCGAAGGCAAUUUCCUGGUCUGGAUCUGACGCUGAACUGCGAAAGCUAGGGUAGCAAACGGAAUUAGAUA
rnacentral:rRNA from 1 species